rnacentral:rRNA from 1 species
UACGUAGGGUGCGAGCGUUGUCCGGAAUUAUUGGGCGUAAAGAGCUCGUAGGCGGUGUGUCACGUCGGCCGUGAAAACCUGCAGCUUAACUGUGGGCGUGCGGUCGAUACGGGCAUCACUGGAGUUCGGCAGGGGGAGACUGGAAUUCCUGGUGUAGCGGUGAAAUGCGCAGAUAUCAGGAGGAACACCGGUGGCGAAGGCGGGUCUCUGGGCAACAACUGACGCUGAGGAGCGAAAGCGUGGGGAGCGAACAGG